AUGUCGUCAAAGGGCUAUAGAUCUGAAACCAGACUUCAACCCUUUUGUUUUACAGAUAAACAUGCAAAGUGCCAGGGAAAUGAAAUGAUUUCCCGGAGACUGCACAGAAGACCUUUAAGAUACCUUCCAACUAUAAGAUUCUACGGUUCUGUCAGAACAUACCAAUCCAUUUCAGAUGGAAGAAAUAAGCGAAAUGAGAAACAUGGGAUAUCUUUGUGGCCAGUGAACCAACAACUUAUGUCCAAGGAAUUGGGAGAGAGUUCAUUAUUUGUCAUUGGUUCACCAACAGAUGCAAUUACAGGUCCAGAGCCUGUUCCUGAAUUGUAAAAACAAAGACUCAGCUGGAAACCCUGAAGAGAAAUACAUCUUUUGGGAAAAUCCUUUCUCUGAUAUCUGUCUUACAAAUAAAGGAAUUAAGCCCCUUGUACCA
rnacentral:lncRNA from 1 species